rnacentral:rRNA from 1 species
UACGUAGGGGGCAAGCGUUGUCCGGAAUCAUUGGGCGUAAAGAGCGUGUAGGCGGUCCGGUAAGUCGGUUGUGAAAGUCCAGGGCUCAACCCUGGGAUGCCGACCGAUACUGUCGGACUAGAGUUCGGAAGAGGCGAGUGGAAUUCCCGGUGUAGCGGUGAAAUGCGCAGAUAUCGGGAGGAACACCUAUGGCGAAGGCAGCUCGCUGGGACGUUACUGGACGCUGGAGACGCGAAAGCGUGGGGAGCAAACAGG